UUGACCUCAGAUCAGGUAGGAAUACCCGCUGAACUUAAGCAUAUCAAUAAGCGGAGGAAAAGAAACCAACAGGGAUUGCCCUAGUAACGGCGAGUGAAGCGGCAACAGCUCAAAUUUGAAAUCUGGCGCAAGCCCGAGUUGUAAUUUGUAGAGGAUGUUUCUGGCGACGUGCCUUCCGAGUUCCCUGGAACGGGACGCCAUAGAGGGUGAGAGCCCCGUACGGUUGGAUGCCUAGCCUCUGUGAAACUCCUUCGACGAGUCGAGUAGUUUGGGAAUGCUGCUCUAAAUGGGAGGUAUACGUCUUCUAAAGCUAAAUACCGGCCAGAGACCGAUAGCGCACAAGUAGAGUGAUCGAAAGAUGAAAAGCACUUUGAAAAGAGGGUUAAAAAGUACGUGAAAUUGUUGAAAGGGAAGCGUUCAUGACCAGACUUGAGCAGGUUGAUCAUCCGUGGUUCUCCGCGGUGCACUCUGCCUGCUCAGGCCAGCAUCAGUUCGCUCCGGGGGAUAAAGGCUUUGGGAA
rnacentral:rRNA from 1 species